AGUCAGCGCCUCGUCACAGGUGCGUUCUGCAACAGCAGCGCGAUAAUCGGGAAGACGGUGCGACUUAGGUCAAUGCCGUCACUGCCCCCGCAACGGUAAUCGGGUCAACCGGCAUCACAAGCCACUAUUAAAUUUAAUGGGAAGGCGAUGCUGUCAGAUAUCCCCGAAAGUCCGGAGACCGGCCUGUUACGUCCUUCAUGU
rnacentral:ncRNA from 2 species